UACGUAGGGUGCAAGCGUUGUCCGGAAUUAUUGGGCGUAAAGAGCUCGUAGGCGGUCUGUCGCGUCGGCUGUGAAAACUCGGGGCUCAACUCCGAGCUUGCAGUCGAUACGGGCAGACUAGAGUGCGGUAGGGGAGAAUGGAACUCCUGGUGUAGCGGUGGAAUGCGCAGAUAUCAGGAAGAACACCGAUGGCGAAGGCAGUUCUCUGGGCCGUAACUGACGCUGAGGAGCGAAAGCGUGGGGAGCGAACAGG
rnacentral:rRNA from 1 species